AUGCACGCUGGCGGCGUGCCUCAUACCUGCAAGUCGAGCGAACGGACGAGAAGCUUGCUUCUCUGAUGUUAGCGGCGGACGGGUGAGUAACACGUGGAUAACCUACCUAUAAGACUGGGAUAACUUCGGGAAACCGGAGCUAAUACCGGAUGAUAUUUUGAACCGCAUGGUUCAAAAGUGAAAGACGGUCUUGCUGUCACUUAUAGAUGGAUCCGCGCUGCAUUAGCUAGUUGGUAAGGUAACGGCUUACCAAGGCAACGAUGCAUAGCCGACCUGAGAGGGUGAUCGGCCACACUGGAACUGAGACACGGUCCAGACUCCUACGGGAGGCAGCAGUAGGGAAUCUUCCGCAAUGGGCGAAAGCCUGACGGAGCAACGCCGCGUGAGUGAUGAAGGUCUUCGGAUCGUAAAACUCUGUUAUUAGGGAAGAACAUAUGUGUAAGUAACUGUGCACAUCUUGACGGUACCUAAUCAGAAAGCCACGGCUAACUACGUG
rnacentral:rRNA from 1 species